GACGAACGCUGGCGGCGUGCUUAACACAUGCAAGUCGAGCGGUAAGGCCCUUUCGGGGUACGACGAGCGGCGAACGGGUGAGUAACACGUGGGUGACCUGCCCUCAGCUCUGGGAUAAGCCUGGGAAACUGGGUCUAAUACCGGAUAUGACUCCAUGACGCAUGUUGUGGGGUGGAAAGCCUUGUGCGGCUGAGGAUGGGCCCGCGGCCUAUCAGCUUGUUGGUGGGGUGAGGCCUACCAAGGCGACGACGGGUAGCCGGCCUGAGAGGGCGACCGGCCACACUGGGGACUGAGACACGGGCCCAGACUCCUACGGGAGGCAGCAGUGGGGAAUCUUGCGCAA
rnacentral:rRNA from 1 species